AACGAACGCUGGCGGCAUGCCUAACACAUGCAAGUCGAACGAGACCUUCGGGUCUAGUGGCGCACGGGUGCGUAACGCGUGGGAAUCUGCCCUUGGGUUCGGAACAACAGUUGGAAACGACUGCUAAUACCGGAUGAUGACUUCGGUCCAAAGAUUUAUCGCCCAGGGAUGAGCCCGCGUAGGAUUAGCUUGUUGGUGAGGUAAAAGCUCACCAAGGCGACGAUCCUUAGCUGGUCUGAGAGGAUGAUCAGCCACACUGGGACUGAGACACGGCCCAGACUCCUACGGGAGGCAGCAGUGGGGAAUAUUGGACAAUGGGCGAAAGCCUGAUCCAGCAAUGCCGCGUGAGUGAUGAAGGCCUUAGGGUUGUAAAGCUCUUUUACCCGGGAUGAUAAUGACAGUACCGGGAGAAUAAGCCCCGGCUAACUCCGUGCCAGCCGCCGCCGUAAUAC
rnacentral:rRNA from 1 species